rnacentral:rRNA from 1 species
GACAGAGGAUGCAAGCGUUAUCCGGAAUGAUUGGGCGUAAAGCGUCUGUAGGUGGCUUUUUAAGUCCGCCGUCAAAUCCCAGGGCUCAACCCUGGACAGGCGGUGGAAACUACCAAGCUGGAGUACGGUAGGGGCAGAGGGAAUUUCCGGUGGAGCGGUGAAAUGCGCAGAUAUCAGGAGGAACACCAAUAGCGAAGGCAGCUCGCUGGGACGUUACUGACACUGAGGCGCGAAAGCGUGGGGAGCGAACAGG